rnacentral:rRNA from 1 species
UACAUAGGGGGCAAGCGUUAUCCGGAAUUAUUGGGCGUAAAGCGUGCGUAGGCGGUUUAUUAAGUCUGAUGUGAAAUGUCACAGCUUAACUGUGAAGGGUCAUUGGAAACUGGUAAACUUGAGUACAGUAGGGGUAAGUGGAAUUCCAAGUGGAGCGGUGGAAUGCGUAGAGAUUUGGAGGAACACCAGUGGCGAAGGCGGCUUACUGGACUGUAACUGACACUGAGGCUCGAAAGCGUGGGGAGCAAACAGG